AUAUAUAUAUAUAUAUA
rnacentral:misc_RNA from 1 species